rnacentral:lncRNA from 1 species
GGAGGGGAGAGAAAGUGAAACAGAAAGAGCCUUAUCCAAGGAGCAGUUAGAUCAUUUGUUUCGGCAGGGUGGGGCUGGGGGUGGCGCAUGAGAAUUAGUGCCAUAAAAGGAGAAGAGCCCAGCCCACACUGCAGAUUCAUUCAUGUUACUCGAAACCCAGAAGGUCUGAACAUCCUUUUGAAAGCCAGAAGUAUUCCCACAAUCCCUCCUACACCAGUGUCAAGGCCUCCAGAUCCUUCCGAAUGUUCCCAAACUCCUAAAUGUC